GACGACGACGUUGAUAGGUCGGGUGUGUAAGCGCAGCGAUGCGUUGAGCUAACCGAUACUAAUGAACCGUGAGGCUUAACCUU
rnacentral:rRNA from 3 species